rnacentral:rRNA from 1 species
UACGGAGGGUGCAAGCGUUAUCCGGAUUCACUGGGUUUAAAGGGUGCGUAGGCGGGCAGGUAAGUCAGUGGUGAAAUCCCCGAGCUUAACUCGGAAACUGCCGUUGAUACUAUUUGUCUUGAAUAUUGUGGAGGUAAGCGGAAUAUGUCAUGUAGCGGUGAAAUGCUUAGAUAUGACAUAGAACACCAAUUGCGAAGGCAGCUUACUACACAACGAUUGACGCUGAGGCACGAAAGCGUGGGGAUCAAACAGG